UACGGAGGGUGCAAGCGUUAUCCGGAUUUAUUGGGUUUAAAGGGUGCGCAGGCGGGCUUGUAAGUCAGUGGUGAAAUCCUGCCGCUUAACGGUAGGACUGCCAUUGAUACUGCAAGCCUUGAGUAUGGUUGAGGUAGGCGGAAUGUGUGGUGUAGCGGUGAAAUGCAUAGAUAUCACACAGAACACCGAUUGCGAAGGCAGCUUACUAAGCCAUUACUGACGCUGAGGCACGAAAGCGUGGGGAGCGAACAGG
rnacentral:rRNA from 1 species